rnacentral:rRNA from 1 species
UACGGAAGGGGCAAGCGUUGUUCGGAAUCAUUGGACGUAAAGGGCGUGUAGGUGGUUCUGUAUGUCUACCGUGAAAGCGUACGGCUCAACCGUAUUUAGUCGGUAGAAACUGCAGGACUUGAGGCUGGGAGGGGCUGGUGGAAUUCCCCGUGUAGCGGUGAAAUGCGUAGAGAUGGGGGAGAACACUCGUGGCGAAGGCGGCCAGCUAGACCAGUUCUGACACUGAGGCGCGACAGCGUGGGGAGCAAACAGG